rnacentral:rRNA from 1 species
GACGAACGCUGGCGGCGUGCUUAACACAUGCAAGUCGAACGGAAAGACCCUGCUUUUGUGGGGUGCUCGAGUGGCGAACGGGUGAGUAACACGUGAGUAACCUGCCCUUGACUUUGGGAUAACUUCAGGAAACUGGGGCUAAUACCGGAUAGGAGCUCCUGCUGCAUGUUGGGGGUUGGAAAGUUUCGGCGGUUGGGGAUGGACUCGCGGCUUAUCAGCUUGUUGGUGGGGUAGUGGCUUACCAAGGCUUUGACGGGUAGCCGGCCUGAGAGGGUGACCGGCCACAUUGGGACUGAGAUACGGCCCAGGCUCCUACGGGAGGCAGCAGUGGGGAAUAUUGCACAAUGGGCGGAAGCCUGAUGCAGCAACGCCGCGUGCGGGAUGACGGCCUUCGGGUUGUAAACCGCUUUCGCCUGUGACGAAGCGUGAGUGACGGUAAUGGGUAAAGAAGCACCGGCUAACUACGUG